rnacentral:lncRNA from 1 species
AGAGAUUAUAAUUCCUACCCCGCACCAGGGUCAUGAAGAUCAAAGAUAAUAUAUGUGAAUCUGGUACAUCGUAGGUGCUCAAUAAAUAGGAGCUGUUGUAUCGUAAAGCCCAUUAGCUGCUUUGGACCACUGACCUUGACUCCCACAUCUUUGUAUCUUUCUCAGUGCCCAGCAUGCAGUAGGCACUCCAUACACAGUUGUUCAAGUUAAUUGAACUGGAGUACUCCCUGUCUCUUUUUUUCACACUCUUGCUUUCACUAUGAAUAAAGGUUCUGUGAAAGAAAGAUGCUGUGCAAACUCUGGUGUUAUUGGUAUUGCAAGAGUAAUCAACAUGAAAUAGGAUCAGAAGACAAGAAUUCCUUGAAAGCUAAUCCUUUUAAGUUAAUGGAAUUGAAAUAUUGUAAUUCAUGAAAUAGCACUUAAAUGGUACUGCUCGGACAGUUACUGCUUGCUAUUUAUAUACGUUGAAUUUUUAAAAUUACGCCCUGCACGGAAUCGCUUGAGGGCCCAAGUACAAAGAAUUAAUACAUUAAUUAUCAUAAAUGAAUCAUUAAACAGCAACAGUAAUUAAUAGCUUAAGCUAUACAUACAUUUUUAAUUUUUUUUCAACAGUGGCCUUAGUGCUCCUCUGCUGGAAAAAGUUGGUUAGAAGAGGAGCUGAUUGGUAGAAGACUGGAGGUGAAAAUGGAAUCAUAUCUGCCCAUAAGGAGAAACUCUGAGGACCCAACAGAGCACAGUACUGUGCUAAGCCAAGCGGCAGUUAUAAUUCUGUUGGUGAGUGAUGUCACCUUUAUACAUCAAUGUCUUCCGAGAUUAGUUCAUGUAAAUCAGUCUCCUAUAACCUUGUCACCUCAGAGGGAGCACAUAAAAACUGAGUUCCUGGAUGUGCAAAUCUGACAAGUGGAAAAGGACCUUGACAGCCGCUCAAAGGCCUUGUCAUUCUGGCCUCACACCAAGUUGGCAUUACACAUAUAACACUUCAAAUAUCCAACUCAUAUCUGACCAAGAAAAUUGCUGUUUGUAAUGAUCGUUGCUGUUUAGCA